UACGUAGGGGGCUAGCGUUGUCCGGAAUCAUUGGGCGUAAAGAGCGUGUAGGCGGCCCGGUAAGUCCGCUGUGAAAGUCGGGGGCUCAACCCUCGAAUGCCGGUGGAUACUGUCGGGCUAGAGUGCGGAAGAGGCGAGUGGAAUUCCUGGUGUAGCGGUGGAAUGCGCAGAUAUCAGGAGGAACACCAAUGGCGAAGGCAGCUCGCUGGGACGGUACUGACGCUGAGGCGCGAAAGCGUGGGGAGCAAACAGG
rnacentral:rRNA from 1 species